rnacentral:rRNA from 1 species
AGUGAACGCUGGCGGCAGGCCUAACACAUGCAAGUCGAACGGCAGCACAGUAAGAGCUUGCUCUUACGGGUGGCGAGUGGCGGACGGGUGAGGAAUACAUCGGAAUCUACUUUUUCGUGGGGGAUAACGUAGGGAAACCUACGCUAAUAUCGCAUAUGCCCUACGGGUGAAAGCAGGGGAUCUUCGCACCUUGCGCGAUUGAAUGAGCCGAUGUCGGAUUAGCUAGUUGGCGGGGUAAAGGCCCACCAAGGCGGCGAUCCGUAGCUGGAGUGAGUGGAGGGUCGGCCGCACUGGAGCUGGGACACGGUCCAGACGCCUACGGGAGGCAGCAGUGGGGAAUGUGAGGCAGUAGUGGCAAGCCUGAUCCAGCCGUACCGCGUGGGUGAAGAAGACCUUCGGGUUGUAAAGACGUUUUGUUGGGGGAGAAAAGCAGCAGGUUAAUACCCCGCUGUUCUGACGGUACCCAAAGAAUAGGCACCGGCUAACUUCGUG